rnacentral:rRNA from 1 species
GUGAAUCAUCGAAUCUUUGAACGCACCUUGCGCCCUUUGGUAUUCCAAUGGGCAUGCCUGUUUGAGUGUCAUGUUAACCUCACCUCCACAACUUGUUGUGGCCGGUGGAUUUGGAUGCUUGCCGUCGUUUGGCUCGUCCUGAAAUGCAUUAGCCUAGCAAAUUGCUGAGGCCUUCUGGUGUGAUAAUUAUCUGCGCCGUUGGGUCUUUAAGCUUGCUGGCUUACAGUCGUCCGUUCGCGGACAAUUCUUUAAUGCUCUGGCCUCAAAUCAGGUAGGACUACCCGCUGAACUUAAGCAUAUCAAUAAGGCGAGG